rnacentral:rRNA from 1 species
GUCCGCGUGGGAAUCUGCCCUUGGGUUCGGAAUAACUUCUGGAAACGGAAGCUAAUACCGGAUGAUGACGUAAGUCCAAAGAUUUAUCGCCCAAGGAUGAGCCCGCGUAGAGAUUAGCUAGUUGGUGGGGUAAAGGCCCACCAAGGCGCACGAUCCUUAGCUGGUCUGAGAGGAUGAUCAGCCACACUGGGACUGAGACACGGCCCAGACUCCUACGGGAGGCAGCAGUAGGGAAUAUUGGACAAUGGGCGAAAGCCUGAUCCAGCAAUGCCGCGUGAGUGAUGAAGGCCUUAGGGUUGUAAAGCUCUUUUACCCGGGAUGAUAAUGACAGUACCGGGAGAAUAAGCUCCGGCUAACUCCGUGCCAGCAGCCGCGGUAAUACGGAGGGAGCUAGCGUUGUUCGGAAUUACUGGGCGUAAAGCGCACGUAGGCGGCUAUUCAAGUCAGAGGUGAAAGCCCGGGGCUCAACCCCGGAACUGCCUUUGAAACUAGNAUAGCUUGGAAUCCAGGAGANGUGAGUGGAAUUCCGAGUGUAGA